rnacentral:rRNA from 1 species
GAACGCUGGCGGCGUGCCUAAUACAUGCAAGUCGAACGAACUCUGGUAUUGAUUGGUGCUUGCAUCAUGAUUUACAUUUGAGUGAGUGGCGAACUGGUGAGUAACACGUGGGAAACCUGCCCAGAAGCGGGGGAUAACACCUGGAAACAGAUGCUAAUACCGCAUAACAACUUGGACCGCAUGGUCCGAGUUUGAAAAAUGGCUUCGGCUAUCACUUUUGGAUGGUCCCGCGGCGUAUUAGCUAGAUGGUGGGGUAACGGCUCACCAUGGCAAUGAUACGUAGCCGACCUGAGAGGGUAAUCGGCCACAUUGGGACUGAGACACGGCCCAAACUCCUACGGGAGGCAGCAGUAGGGAAUCUUCCACAAUGGACGAAAGUCUGAUGGAGCAACGCCGCGUGAGUGAAGAAGGGUUUCGGCUCGUAAAACUCUGUUGUUAAAGAAGAACAUAUCUGAGAGUAACUGUUCAGGUAUUGACGGUAUUUAACCAGAAAGCCACGGCUAACUACGUGCCAGCAGCCGCGGUAAUACGUAGGUGGCAAGCGUUGUCCGGAUUUAUUGGGCGUAAAGCGAGCGCAAGCGGUUUUUUAAGUCUGAUGUGAAAGCCUUCGGCUCAACCGAAGAAGUGCAUCGGAAACUGGGAAACUUGAGUGCAGAAGAGGACAGUGGAACUCCAUGUGUAGCGGUGAAAUGCGUAGAUAUAUGGAAGAACACCAGUGGCGAAAGGCGGCUGUCUGGUCUGUAACUGACGCUGAGGCUCGAAAGUAUGGGUAGCAAACAGGAUUAGAUACCCUGGUAGUCCAUACCGUAAACGAUGAAUGCUAAGUGUUGGAGGGUUUCCGCCCUUCAGUGCUGCAGCUAACGCAUUAAGCAUUCCGCCUGGGGAGUACGGCCGCAAGGCUGAAACUCAAAGGAAUUGACGGGGGCCCGCACAAGCGGUGGAGCAUGUGGUUUAAUUCGAAGCUACGCGAAGAACCUUACCAGGUCUUGACAUACUAUGCAAAUCUAAGAGAUUAGACGUUCCCUUCGGGGACAUGGAUACAGGUGGUGCAUGGUUGUCGUCAGCUCGUGUCGUGAGAUGUUGGGUUAAGUCCCGCAACGAGCGCAACCCUUAUUAUCAGUUGCCAGCAUUAAGUUGGGCACUCUGGUGAGACUGCCGGUGACAAACCGGAGGAAGGUGGGGAUGACGUCAAAUCAUCAUGCCCCUUAUGACCUGGGCUACACACGUGCUACAAUGGAUGGUACAACGAGUUGCGAACUCGCGAGGGUAAGUUAAUCUCUUAAAGCCAUUCUCAGUUCGGAUUGUAGGCUGCAACUCGCUUACAUGAAGUUGGAAUCGCUAGUAAUCGCGGAUCAGCAUGCCGCGGUGAAUACGUUCCCGGGCCUUGUACACACCGCCCGUCACACCAUGAGAGUUUGUAACACCCAAAGUCGGUGGGGUAACCUUUUAGGAACCAGCCGCCUAAGGUGGGACAGAUGAUUAGGGUG